rnacentral:rRNA from 1 species
GAUGAACGCUGGCGGCGUGCCUAAUACAUGCAAGUCGAGCGAACGGACGAUAAUCUUGCUUCUCUCAUGUUAGCGGCGGACGGGUGAGUAACACGUGGAUAACCUACCUAUCAGACUGGUAUAACUUCGGGAAACCGGAGCUAAUACCGGAUAAUAUUUUGAACCGCAUGGUUCAAAAGUGAAAGACGGUCUUGCUGUCACUUAUAGAUGGAUCCGCGCUGCAUUAGCUAGUUGGUAAGGUAACGGCUUACCAAGGCGACGAUGCAUAGCCGACCUGAGAGGGUGAUCGGCGACACUGGAGCGGAGACACGGUCCAGACUCCUACGAGAGGGAGCAGUAGGGAAUCUUACGCAAUGGGCGAAAGCCUGACGGAACAACGCCGAGUGAGUGAUGAAGGUCUUCGGAGCGUAAAGCUCUGUUAUUAGGGAAGAACAUAUGUGUAAGUAACUGUGCACAUCUUGACGGUACCGAAUCAGAAAGCCACGGCUAACUACGUG